AUUGAACGCUGGCGGCAGGCCUAACACAUGCAAGUCGAGCGGAUGAAGGGAGCUUGCUCCUGGCUUCAGCGGCGGACGGGUGAGUGAUGCCUAGGAAUCUGCCUGGUAGUGGGGGAUAACGUCCGGACACGGGCGCUAAUACCGCAUCCGUCCUGAGGGUGAACGUGGGGGAUCUUCGGACCUAACGCUAUCAGCUGAGCCUAGGUCGAAUUAGCUCGCUGGUAGGGUAAAGGCCUACCAAGGCGACGAUCCGUAGCUGGUCUGCGUGGGUGAUCGGCAACAGUGGAACAGAGACAAGGUCCAGACGCCUACGGGAGGCAGCAGGAGGGAAUCUUGAGCAAGGGGCGAAAGCAUGACGGAGCAACGCCGCGUGAGUGAUGAAGGUCUUCGGAUUGUAAAACUCUGUUAUUAGGGAAGAACAUAUGUGUAAGUAACUGUGCACAUCUUGACGGGACCUAAUCAGAAAGCCACGGCUAACUACGUG
rnacentral:rRNA from 1 species